CCUACGGGCGGCAGCAGUGAGGAAUAUUGGUCAAUGGCCGGAAGGCUGAACCAGCCAAGCCGCGUGAAGGACGAAGGUGCCAAGCAUUGUAAACUUCUUUUGUCAAGGGACAAAAUCAGGCUCGAGAGCCUGACCGAGGGUACUUGAAGAAAAAGCAUCGGCUAACUCCGUGCCAGCAGCCGCGGUAAUACGGAGGAUGCGAGCGUUAUCCGGAUUUAUUGGGUUUAAAGGGUGCGUAGGCGGACUGUUAAGUCAGCGGUAAAAGCCCGGGGCUAAACCCCGGCGAGCCGUUGAAACUGGCGGUCUUGAGAUGUCGAGAGGUAUGCGGAAUGCGCGGUGUAGCGGUGAAAUGCUUAGAUAUUGCGCAGAACUCCGAUUGCGAAGGCAGCAUACCGGCGGCGAUCUGACGCUGAGGCACGAAAGCGUGGGUAUCGAACAGGAUUAGAUACCCCGGUAGUC
rnacentral:rRNA from 1 species